AACGGAACUGCCAAACCGCAAUGACAAUAGAAAAUCAUGGAAUUUUGGUAUUCUUAAUCUUUCCAUUUUGGAAUGUGCUAGUUGAUUGUUUCAGGAGGAAGGCACUACAGAAGAUGAGAAGAGGGUAAUCUGACCUUUUGUCCCAUUUGUCUUCUGCAUAUCAGGCCAUACUCAUCUAGUUUCUGCUCUACCCUCACCAGCUCCUUCUUUUGGUAGGCGUCGACCACUUGUGGAUCCAUCUUGGAUGGAGAGAAAUUUUCACUACCUCAUAUUCGGAUGAAAUUCCAUUUGUUUGGAUGGAGAGAGAUAAGAGCCCUGGGAAGGGAAAAGAAGCCUACGCUCUUUACAUGUUAUACAUUUUAAUGGACUGAGUUAAUGUACUAUGAGAUGUGAAA